rnacentral:rRNA from 1 species
UACGUAGGCAGCAAGCGUUGUUCGGAAUUACUGGGCGUAAAGAGUGUGUAGGCGGUGCUCUAAGUUCGGUGUGAAAUCUCCCGCUUAACUGGGAGGGUGCGCCGGAACUGGAGUGCUCGAGCGUGGGAGAGGAAAGCGGAAUUCCUGGUGUAGCGGUGAAAUGCGUAGAUAUCAGGAGGAACACCUGCGGUGUAGACGGCUUUCUGGACCAUGCUGACGCUGAGACACGAAAGCGUGGGUAGCAAACAGG